CAGAUACAGAUUGAACGAUACAUCAACGUUCGCUCCCGUUUUUAUGCAACCCGCAUCCGACUGAAUUUCCCUUAGGCGUGUGAUACUCGCAUGCGGGUCAUUAUUGAACGCGUGCGUGUGUGACAGCAAAGAUAGCAGAACGUUUUCAUUUCGCCCUCGAUUUUCGACGUUAUUGCGGAAAAAGAGUGAAUAAUAUAUAAAAAUCGAUUAACAAAUGUAAUCGAAAGAUAAUAAUCGUAUUAUAAGAGAAAUGAAGCACGUAACUUUAUUCUACUGAUGAUGUACGAAUGUCAAAAAUGAUUUCCACCAGCCAAUAAGUGAGGACGAUUUGCAAUUACAAUUAUUAUAUUGUUAUAUUAAUGGAACGUGUCACUCAGUCAAAAUGUUUAUUUCUUCCGCACACGUUUAACAACAUCCUCAUUAAUGAUACGUACCGUAGUGUGCCGGGCAUAUUGAUGUUCGGCGGGAUUCAAAGCCUGGCAGAGAGUAAGAUUGGCAGGUUCAGGAUUGAGGAAGGAAUCGGUCUGGUUUACAUUAUUCAGGGUGCAGCAACUGAGAGGCACCACUAAUUCUCUUCGGCCGACUUCCUGCAGCCGCCACCAUGAGGUGCCGUAAUUGCUGCUUCCGUUUAUGCCGCAGCAAGCAAACUGAAAAGAUCGAGGUUUUUCAUAGAUUGAAAUGGGUGUGCGUCCUACUUUUUUUUUCUUUUCUUUUGAUCAUCGAUUUCGUGGAACUGAAUAAAUAAACCCUGUUUAUCAUCUCGCAGUCUAUUUUUGUCGAAUACUUUCGUUUCGAGAUUCUGUAUUUAGCAACGUACCGUUGUUUGUGCGAGAUCAAGGGCUGCCGUGAAUUGCUCUCGACCGGGUACGGCGUAGCUUCGCUGCAAAGCUCGUAUCAAUCGCGCCGGUCUGACAUCGAUGCCUAAAACGUGAGGCCAGAACACGACGAGAACGCAUACGGUACAUUCGCCUAGUAAUAGCAGGAUUAUCGUGAUGAAAUACUGGAAGUAAAAGUAAAUAAAAUAAAGUGAAGUAAUGAGUAAAGUAAUUAAAGAAAAAGGGGAUUAUGAAGAAUAUCGAGGAUAGAACUGUGAGAUAAAAUAUAAUGAGCGAAGUAAUUAAGAAACUCUUGUUCGAACGUUAUUCGUUUGUUAUUGAAUGUUUAAUGUUCGAAUCGUUUUUAUAAAAUACAAAGAUAAGUUUUUAUUUUGAUUCAAUGUAUUUUAAAUGUGUAAAUAUAAUUACGAAUUAUACGUAUGCAUUUAUUGGAUUAACGGAUUGUUUAAAUUAAUUGUAUAAUUUGUAAUUAUAUUCCUUUGGUUUAUCAUAUCAUAUGUGAAAAAUUAAUUUAAUUAAAUUAUCAUUAUGAUUUUAGAAAAUAUUACGCUCGUUACAUCGAAUUUGUAAAUAAUAACGAAUACUUCUAUGAUUUUAUGAUCGUAAUAAAUUUAUAAAAAAAAAAAAUAUUAAAGAUAAAAA